rnacentral:misc_RNA from 1 species
GAUGAAGAACGCAGCGAAAUGCGAUAAGUAAUGUGAAUUGCAGAAUUCAGUGAAUCAUCGAAUCUUUGAACGCACAUUGCGCCCCAUGGUAUUCCGGGGGGCAUGCCUGUUCGAGCGUCAUUUCACCACUCAAGCCUCGCUUGGUAUUGGGCAUCGCGGUCCGCCGCGUGCCUCAAAUCGACCGGCUGGGUCUUCUGUCCCCUAAGCGUUGUGGAAACUAUUCGCUAAAGGGUGUUCGGGAGGCUACGCCGUAAAACAACCCCAUUUCUAAGGUUGACCUCGGAUCAGGUAGGGAUACCCGCUGAACUUAAGCAUAUCAAUAAGCGGAGGA